GUCUGCAUCAGGUGAAUGGCUUCCUUGCCCUCUCUGGCAACAAAGAAACUGGAUGAGGCUGAGCCAGAGACUCGAGUGGAGCCCUGCUCGCAAAAGUCACUGUUUGAAAGACAUACAACCAACUCCAGCAAGGCCAAGGCAUUGGCCAAUGAACUCAUAUUAAGAUGACUGGCUUCUCGGAGCCAAUUUCACUGACUCCUCUUAAAAGACCCAAGACUGGUGGCAGGCGAAGCGAGUGUCACUCUAAGGGUGCUCUGGAUAGGUCUAGAAUAAACUGUUCUUCCACUCUUUGAUGGACACAGUUCCUCCUGGAGUUUCCCGGGACCCUCAGCUCGGUUUCCUGGUAGCAAGAUUAUACGAGGGGGCCAAUGUCACCCAGCUUUGAAGUAUGACUAAGUGAAGAACAAGCUGAGGUCUAUACGGCACCCCCUGGUGGCAAACAUCUGAAGGGCGCUCAUUUCUUCUGAACAGCCCGGGGAGGGAAGGACCACCAAAACUGGGCACUGGUGCCUAUUCCGAUGAGGUAAAGCCAGGGUGGUAAAAGCAGAAGAAAAUGAGGGCUCAGCUGAAGUGCUGAAGAGCUCUGAGGUGUCCAUGGGCUGUGUGGAGUGAUUAGCCCGGAGGCCGGUGAAGGGCGGUUGGAAACCUCAGCCCUCGAGGCUGAAAGUGCUCAUCUUCCUGAGCAUGCGCACAUCCUUGGAACCUUUGCACAGAACACACAAACGGGCCAUCCCAACAGACCCUCCGCAGCCCACGCAGGUGUUUGGGAGCAAGAGAGACCCAUUUUGUUGUUAAGUCUCCAACGCCAGGCACAAGGCAACAGCUUGGGAGAUCACUGCUUGCCAUUCUCAUUUUCUUCUCCAGGAACACUGGAAGUCACAGCCUGGUCCAGGCUGGGGCGUGGAGGUGGACCCGCAGGGAGGACGAAAGAGUGAGAGAUGAAGGACGAAAACAGCCUGUUUCCUAUGUCCGUUUAGUGUUCUGUAGGAUGCCUAUUUCAAAACCGAGAAGCCAAUAAAAGAAAGAAAGAAAAAGAAACAGGCUCACCAGGGAGCACCGCUGAGCCACACUGCCUUGUGUGCAGCUCAGGACUCACCUGUCCUUUGAAAGACUCUAUUCCCCUGGGCACAAACACCUCUAGGCGACAGAGUGGCAAGAGACACAGAGAGUGCUCCAACCUCUCGGAAACAUAAAGAGAAUUUUAAAAACAAACGAAAACAAAGCUCUGCAAAUACCAAAUCCAGGCAAAGAAGGUGGUGCAAGCUUUUGGAAGGGUGCCUGAGCAAACACGAGGAGAGAAGAGACACUGCAGAGUUUUUAAGGCAGUCCACACGUGUUUCCAUUAACCAGUGGCAGACAGUAGCCAGAGAUAACAAAUACUGGAGCUGCCCCAUUCCUCUGUCCCUUUCCCUCAAUUACUAAAGCUUGCCAAAUGAUGCUGAGAAGAGAGAUGGAAAUGUCAUGAAAUCAAAAUGUCAGAGUAGGCUUGGAAAACCUCAGAGUUUGCCCUCACUGCUGACUCAGCCCUUAAUCAAGAGGCCAAGUCCGGCUUCACAGGCGGGUGAGAUCCCUUUAGUGUGAGGAAAGGCAAUCGCCACCAAGCCUUCCGACAUGAGUUCAAUUCCCCAGAGUCCACAAGACAGGAGAAAUCUGACUUCUACAGGCUCUAGACCUCCACACCGUGCACCCAUGGCACAGCUUGUGAACAUACAAACACACACACACACACACACACACACACACACGAGGUAAAAAAAAAAAUCUUAUUAAUAAAAAAACAAAAACAAAAACACUGAUCUGGAAAUUAAGGAUAAUGGCUAGUGUGAGCAGAGCCCCCCCACCCCCAACAGCCUGCACAUUCUGGAGUGGCCAGAAUUACCUACAGAUAGCUAGACCAUUACGUGGGCUAGCUCACACAACAUCAAGAGUCCCUGUAUAGAAGGACGUGUGCUAAUCCGCGAUCCAAGAGUGACUCAAAAAGAGACAAAGACUUCACAGAUCCCCAACUUACACUUUUAUCCUAAUCCCAAGACAAGAGAAGCCAGGUCCUCACCCAGUAGGGAAGGCACUGUACACCCAAGUGCCUGUGAUGAUCGACACCCCCCAAAAUAAAUGAAAGAGCAACAGCCAUUCCCUCUAUAAAGGCUGAACUUGGAUGUCAACUGGAGCAAAUGAAAGGGAUGCUCUGAGAGUUUCCUAAACGGGCUCAGAACUCGUCCCUUUGUGCACUCUCAAGGCAAAGCUGUGUGGUUGGCAUUUGGAUUAGAAUGACUAGGUUGCCCAGCUGUGCCUGUGUGGCACAUUCUGCUAGGGUAAGGGAACUGAAAGGAAAGAUCCACCCUUAGUGUGGGCAAGUGGCAUCUAAUCAGCUGGGAGCUUGAAAGAACAAGGUUCAGUUCUUUUCUUCCCUCCCUCCCUGCGCCCCUCUCUCCCUCUUCCCAGACUCCCUUCCCCUGCACAAGGAAGUCAGGCUCUAGGUGUCUUGGACUCUGAGCUUCACACGGAGCGAGGGCACUCCCAAGUUCCUCCCACCUUAGGCUCUCCCCUUCAGACCGCGUCUCGCCAUCUAUCCCCCUGGCUCUGAAGUGUCUGGACUUGGACAGAGUCAGCAGCCCUGGUCCUGCGCUCUUCACACAGCCUCUUGUGAAACCUGACAGCCUCUGUAAUUAAGCAAACCAGCCCCGUCCCUCAGA